AGCGAAAGCAUAACAAGGGCGCACGGUGGAUGCCUAGGCAUCGUCAGGCGAUGAAGGACGUGACAAGCUGCGAAAAGCUGCGGGGAGCUGCAAACAAGCCCGGAUCCGCAGGUGUCCGAAUGGGGAAACCCACCCGGCUUCGGCCGGGUACUCCUACGGGAGAGCCAACGGGGGGAAUUGAAACAUCUUAGUACCCCCAGGAGCAGAAAACAAAUCAGUGAUUCCCCAAGUAGUGGCGAGCGAACGGGGAACAGCCCAAACCGGCUGCCUACGGGCGGUCGGGGUUGUAGGGCCCACAGAAGGUAUGGAAGCAAAAUUCGAAGCGCACUGGAAAGGCGCGCCACAGCGGGUGAGAGCCCCGUAGGAGUACGGCGACCAUACUGGUGGGAUCUCCUGAGUAAGGCGGGACCGGAGAAAUCCUGUCUGAACCGGCCGGCACCAUCCGGCAAGGCUAAAUACUGACGAUGACCGAUAGUGGACCAGUACCGUGAGGGAAAGGUGAAAAGAACGCCGAGAAGGCGAGUGAAACAGUACCUGAACCCGUGCGCUUACAAGCGGUCGGAGCUGCCCUUUGGGCAGUGACGGCGUGCCUUUUGCAUAAUGAGCCUACGAGUUGCUCCUGACCUGCGAGGUUAAUCCGCUCAGCGGAGAAGCCGAAGCGAAAGCGAGUCCGAACAGGGCGCCCAAGUAGGUCGGGGCAGACGCGAAACCGGGUGAGCUAUCUAUGACCAGGGUGAAGCGUGGGUAAGACCACGUGGAGGCCCGAACCGCCUGGCGUUGAAAAGCCAUCGGAUGAGUUGUGGAUAGGGGUGAAAGGCCAAUCAAACCCGGCAAUAGCUCGUUCUCCCCGAAAUAUAUUUAGGUAUAGCAUCUGGUUAAAGCCGGCCGGAGGUAGAGCACUGAUUAGGCUAGGGGGCUUCACCGCCUACCAAACCUAGACAAACUCCGAAUGCCGUCCGGCGUUUCCAGGUAGUCAGCAACCGAGCGAUAACGUCCGGUUGCAAAAGGGAAAGAACCCAGACCACCGAUUAAGGCCCCUAAAUCCAAACUAAGUUGAACAAAGAAAGUUGGGUUGCCCAGACAACUAGGAGGUUGGCUUAGAAGCAGCCAUUCCUUGAAAGAGUGCGUAAUAGCUCACUAGUCGAGCGGCCCGGCGUCGAUAAUUUGCGGGCAUUAAGUUUGGUGCCGAAAUCGUGGGUUUGUCUCCGCAAGGGGGCAAGCGGUAGGGGAGCAUUCCAGCGGCUUUGAAGUCGGCCUGUGAGGGCCGGUGGAGCUUCUGGAAGCGAAACUGUAGGCAUGAGUAACGAUAAGAGGGGUGAAGAACCCCUCCACCGUAAACCUACGGGUUCCUGAUCAACGCUCAUCGGAUCAGGGUUAGUCGAGACCUAAGGUGUAGCCGAAGGGCGAAACCGAUGGAAAACCGGUACAAUAUUCCGGUACCACCAGGGGGUUACAGGCUAAGGCGUGACGCAGAAGUGACACCACCGCCUUCCGACGGAAUGGAAGGUUGAAGAGUGUAGGCCGCGGGGUAGGCAAAUCCGCCCCGCCGAGGCUGAAGCUCGACAGUACGGGGAGCCUGCGGGCAAACCGACAGUGUGGGUAAUCAGGCUGCCAAGAAAAGCGUCGUAGACUACUCUUUGGUGCUCGUACCAAAACCGACACAGGUAGGUGAGGAGAGAAUCCUCAGGUGCUCGAGGCAAUCGUGGCUAAGGAACUCGGCAAAUUAGAUCCGUAACUUCGGGAGAAGGAUCCCCUGCGGUCCGCCUUUUGGUGGAUUGCGGGGCGCAGUGACCAGGCCCAAUCGACUGUUUAACAAAAACACAGGCCUCUGCUAAGUCGCAAGACGAUGUAUAGGGGCUGACACCUGCCCGGUGCUGGAAGGUUAAGGAAGCCUGUUAAUCCCUUCGGGGAUGAAGCGGGCGACUGAAGCCCCAGUAAACGGCGGCCGUAACUAUAACGGUCCUAAGGUAGCGAAAUUCCUUGUCGGGUAAGUUCCGACCUGCACGAAUGGUGCAACGAAUUGGGCACUGUCUCGGCCACGAGCUCGGUGAAAUUGUGGUAUCGGUGAUGACGCCGAUUACCCGCAGCGGGACGGAAAGACCCCGUGAACCUUUACUACAACUUUACAUUGGCUUUACCGGCCGGAUGUGCAGGAUAGGUGGGAGGCUUUGAAGCCCUGGCGCUAGCUGGGGUGGAGCCACCGGUGAAAUACCACCCUUCUGGCAGGUGAAUUCUAAUGCCCCACCGGGCAGACAGUGUAUGGUGGGUAGUUUGACUGGGGCGGUCGCCUCCUAAAGUGUAACGGAGGCUCCCAAAGGUACCCUCAGCACGGUCGGCAAUCGUGCGCAGAGUGUAAAAGCAUAAGGGUGCUUGACUGCGAGAGAUACAGCUCGAGCAGCUGCGAAAGCAGGGUUUAGUGAUCCGGCGAUUCCGUAUGGAAGGGUCGUCGCUCAAAGGAUAAAAGGUACUCCGGGGAUAACAGGCUUAUCUCCCCCAAGAGUUCACAUCGACGGGGAGGUUUGGCACCUCGAUGUCGGCUCAUCGCAUCCUGGGGCUGGAGAAGGUCCCAAGGGUUUGGCUGUUCGCCAAUUAAAGCGGUACGCGAGCUGGGUUCAGAACGUCGUGAGACAGUUCGGUCCCUAUCUGCUGUGGGCGUAGGAAUGUUGUGGAGCCCUGCUCCUAGUACGAGAGGACCGGAGUGGACGCACCGCUGGUGUACCAGUUGUCCCGCCAGGGGCACGGCUGGGUAGCUAUGUGCGGCAGUGAUAAGCCGCUGAAAGCAUCUAAGCGCGAAGCACGCUCCAAGAUAAGCAUUCCCCAAGAGUCUGCUGGAAGACGACCAGCUCGAUAGGCGGCAGGUACAAGCGCGGUAACGCGUUUAGCCGAGCCGUACUAAUCAGACCACCGGCUUUGCUUA
rnacentral:rRNA from 1 species